rnacentral:lncRNA from 1 species
AUGGGUUCGAAUACGUAUAGACAUGGCCCGAGUACUCCUACUCGGCCCAAUAGUCGGUAGCGGCCUCUAGCAAGACGUGCCAACUCCUAUACGCACACGAAGAUCAUAUCAAACGAACCGUCACAAUAUUAUGUACAUGCUAUUCCCUUUGCCUCACGAUAUUUGGUCUAGCUUCAAGCCAACCGCUCUUUCUCGAUCCUGUGAUUCGGAAUCCC